GAUGAACGCUGGCGGCGUGCCUAAUACAUGCAAGUCGAGCGAAGAGAUGAGGCUUGUGCUCCUCUUUCGCUACCGACGGACGAGUAAGUAACAGGUGAACAACCUUACUCUAAGACUUGACUAUGUGCGAGAAUCCCUAAUACAUACCAAAUAAUAUAUUGAACCUGAUAGAUCAAUAGAGAAAUUAUCGGUUUAGGACGCGUCUGCGUCGAAUCGGGUCGCAUUAGCUAGUAGGUAUGGUAACGGCUUACCAAGGCAACGAUGCGUAGCCGACAUGAGAGGGUGAUCGGCCACACUGGAACUGAGACACGGUCCAGACUCCUACGGGAGGCAGCAGUAGGGAAUCUUCCGCAAUGGGCGAAAGCCUAACGGAGCAACGCCGCGUGAGUGAUGAAGGUCUUCGGAUCGUAAAACGCUGUUAUUCGGGAAGAACACAUGUGUAAGUAACUAUGCACGUCUUGACGGUACCUAAUCAGAAAGCCACGGCUAACUACGUG
rnacentral:rRNA from 1 species